AUUGAACGCUGGCGGCAUGCUUUACACAUGCCAGUCGAACGGCAGCGCGGGCUUCGGCCUGGCGGCGAGUGGCGAACGGGUGAGUAAUACAUCGGAACGUGCCCACUAGUGGGGGAUAGCUCGUCGAAAGCCGGAUUAAUACCGCAUACGACCUGAGGGUGAAAGCGGGGGAUCUUCGGACCUCGCGCUCUUUGGGCGGCCGAUGGCCGAUUAGCUAGUUGGUGGGUUAAAGGCCUACCAAGGCGACGAUCUGUAGCUGGUCUGAGAGGACGACCAGCCACACUGGGACUGAGACACGGCCCAGACUCCUACGGGAGGCAGCAGUGGGGAAUUUUGGACAAUGGGCGAAAGCCUGAUCCAGCAAUGCCGCGUGUGUGAUGAAGGCCUUCGGGUUGUAAAGCACUUUUGGCGGGAACGAAAAGGACUGUGCCAAUACCACGGUUCGAUGACGGUACCCGCAGAAUAAGCACCGGCUAACUACGUG
rnacentral:rRNA from 1 species